rnacentral:rRNA from 1 species
UGGGGAAUUUUGGACAAUGGGCGAAAGCCUGAUCCAGCCAUGCCGCGUGAGUGAAGAAGGCCUUCGGGUUGUAAAGCUCUUUCGGACAGAAAGAAAUCGCACGGGCUAAUACUCCGUGUGGAUGACGGUACUGUAAGAAGAAGCACCGGCUAACUACGUGCCAGCAGCCGCGGUAAUACGUAGGGUGCGAGCGUUAAUCGGAAUUACUGGGCGUAAAGCGUGCGCAGGCGGUUACAUAAGACAGAUGUGAAAUCCCCGGGCUCAACCUGGGAACUGCGUUUGUGACUGUGUGACUAGAGUACGGCAGAGGGGGGUGGAAUUCCUGGUGUAGCAGUGAAAUGCGUAGAUAUCAGGAGGAACAUCGAUGGCGAAGGCAGCCCCCUGGGCCUGUACUGACGCUCAUGCACGAAAGCGUGGGGAGCAAACAGG